ensembl:snRNA U6 U6 spliceosomal RNA
CUGCUUGCUUCGGCAGCACAUAUACUAAAAUUGGAACGAUACGGACAGGAUUAGCAUGGCCCCUGCACCAGAAAAUGGGUAAAAGGGACAGAGUCAUUUCAU